rnacentral:misc_RNA from 1 species
AGCAGGCCAGUAUAAAUUAGCAUUCACCAGAGCAUGAAUUAGAAUAUAAAAGGGCAUGGUUGAGCGGUUAAAAUUCUUGUGCAAGCCCAGGAAUUUGAAGAACCUCAAAGCUGAUUGGAAUCAUCGAGGGACUGCAUUAGGACCUUCUCAAUAUGGUGAGGCUUUAACUUGCUUGAAAUGAAUGUACCGUUCAAUUUGAUUUUCCCGCUUUGCUUUCCGCUUAAAAUGCGUGUGAGGAUGGCUAUGAAUUGCAAGUCUUGGUCUCUUUCGUCAUUAUCUUGAAUUACUGAGGAUCUGGAGUUGCAAAAGUAUUUGGGUUUGGCGU